AUACUUACCUGGCACAGGAGAUACCGUGAUCACGAAGGCGGUUUUCCCAGGGCGAGGCUCACCAUUGCACUCCUGUGAUGCUGACCCUUGCGAUUAACCCAAAUGUAAGAACAUAAGAGAACAUAAGAAUGGAGGAAACUGUAGCGGGCCUAUUGGCCCAUGCUGG